GAUGAACGCUGGCGGCGUGCCUAAUACAUGCAAGUCGAACGCAUAGCGAAAGGUGCUUGCACCUUUCAAGUGAGUGGCGAACGGGUGAGUAACACGUGGACAACCUGCCUCAAGGCUGGGGAUAACAUUUGGAAACAGAUGCUAAUACCGAAUAAAACUUAGUGUCGCAUGACACAAAGUUAAAAGGCGCUUCGGCGUCACCUAGAGAUGGAUCCGCGGUGCAUUAGUUAGUUGGUGGGGUAAAGGCCUACCAAGACAAUGAUGCAUAGCCGAGUUGAGAGACUGAUCGGCCACAUUGGGACUGAGACACGGCCCAAACUCCUACGGGAGGCUGCAGUAGGGAAUCUUCCACAAUGGGCGAAAGCCUGAUGGAGCAACGCCGCGUGUGUGAUGAAGGCUUUCGGGUCGUAAAGCACUGUUGUAUGGGAAGAACCGCUAGAAUAGGAAAUGAUUUUAGUUUGACGGUACCAUACCAGAAGGGGACGGCUAAAUACGU
rnacentral:rRNA from 1 species